rnacentral:rRNA from 1 species
GCUGGCGGCAGGCCUAACACAUGCAAGUCGAGCGGUAACAGAUCYAGCUUGCUGGAUGCUGACGAGCGGCGGACGGGUGAGUAAUGCAUAGGAAUCUGCCCGAUAGUGGGGGAUAACCUGGGGAAACCCAGGCUAAUACCGCAUACGUCCUACGGGAGAAAGGGGGCUCCGGCUCCCGCUAUGGGAUGAGCCUAUGUCGGAUUAGCUAGUUGGUGAGGUAACGGCUCACCAAGGCCACGAUCCGUAGCUGGUCUGAGAGGAUGAUCAGCCACAUCGGGACUGAGACACGGCCCGAACUCCUACGGGAGGCAGCAGUGGGGAAUAUUGGACAAUGGGGGAAACCCUGAUCCAGCCAUGCCGCGUGUGUGAAGAAGGCCCUCGGGUUGUAAAGCACUUUCAGCGAGGAAGAACGCCUAGCGGUUAAUACCCGCUAGGAAAGACAUCACUCGCAGAAGAAGCACCGGCUAACUCCGUGCCAGCAGCCGCGGUAAUACGGAGGGUGCAAGCGUUAAUCGGAAUUACUGGGCGUAAAGCGCGCGUAGGUGGCUUGAUAAGCCGGUUGUGAAAGCCCCGGGCUCAACCUGGGAACGGCAUCCGGAACUGUCAAGCUAGAGUGCAGGAGAGGAAGGUAGAAUUCCCGGUGUAGCGGUGAAAUGCGUAGAGAUCGGGAGGAAUACCAGUGGCGAAGGCGGCCUUCUGGACUGACACUGACACUGAGGUGCGAAAGCGUGGGUAGCAAACAGGAUUAGAUACCCUGGUAGUCCACGCCGUAAACGAUGUCGACCAGCCGUUGGGUGCCUAGCGCACUUUGUGGCGAAGUUAACGCGAUAAGUCGACCGCC